rnacentral:rRNA from 1 species
UAUGACCUACGGGACGCAGCAGUGAGGAAUAUUGGUCAAUGGGCGAGAGCCUGAACCAGCCAAGUCGCGUGAGGGAAGACAGUCCUAUGGAUUGUAAACCUCUUUUGCCGGGGAGCAAAAAGCGGUACGUGUACCGCAUCGAGAGUACCCGGAGAAAAAGCAUCGGCUAACUCCGUGCCAGCAGCCGCGGUAAUACGGAGGAUGCGAGCGUUAUCCGGAUUUAUUGGGUUUAAAGGGUGCGCAGGCGGCGAGUUAAGUCAGCGGUAAAAUUUCGGGGCUGAACCCCGA